rnacentral:rRNA from 1 species
GACGAACGCUGGCGGCGUGCCUAAUACAUGCAAGUCGAACGCACAGUUUAUACCGUAGCUUGCUACACCAUAGACUGUGAGUUGCGAACGGGUGAGUAACGCGUAGGUAACCUGCCUGGUAGCGGGGGAUAACUAUUGGAAACGAUAGCUAAUACCGCAUAAUAUUGAUUAUUGCAUGAUAAUUGAUUGAAAGAUGCUAUUGCAUCACUACCAGAUGGACCUGCGUUGUAUUAGCUAGUAGGUGAGGUAACGGCUCACCUAGGCGACGAUACAUAGCCGACCUGAGAGGGUGAUCGGCCACACUGGGACUGAGACACGGCCCAGACUCCUACGGGAGGCAGCAGUAGGGAAUCUUCGGCAAUGGACGAAGGUCUGACCGAGCAACGCCGCGUGAGUGAAGAAGGUUUUCGGAUCGUAAAGCUCUGUUGUAAGAGAAGAACGGGUGUGAGAGUGGAAAGUUCACACUGUGACGGUAUCUUACCAGAAAGGGACGGCUAACUACGUG